GUGAAUAUAGUUCAGUCGGUAGAACGUCUAUUUGUGGCAUAGAAGGUCUCUGGUUCAAAUCCAGAUUUUCACC